UACGAAGGGGACUAGCGUUGUUCGGAAUCACUGGGCGUAAAGCGCACGUAGGCGGGUCGUUAAGUCAGGGGUGAAAUCCCAGAGCUCAACUCUGGAACUGCCUUUGAUACUGGCGACCUAGAGUUCGGAAGAGGUUAGUGGAAUUCCCAGUGUAGAGGUGAAAUUCGUAGAUAUUGGGAAGAACACCAGUGGCGAAGGCGGCUAACUGGUCCGAUACUGACGCUGAGGUGCGAAAGCGUGGGGAGCAAACAGG
rnacentral:rRNA from 1 species